GCCCAGAAUUGCAUACCUUGAAUGAAAAUCAUGGCUGUGACUUCAUGGUGGGAAUUCAACCUGUUAAAACAUGACAUUACCUCAGGCUUCUGCUUCUUGCACCUGUACCAAGAAGCAAAGGAGAGGUGAUUGAGAUGAUGGUGCUCCACAUCCCAGAGGGAGUUUCGUUUGACAGAUAAGCACCCUGAGUCACGAGCUGAAUACGUGCCUAAACGUUUCAGCAGUUGAAGGAAAUCCUAUCAAAGUCUGCUGCUGUGGUCGAACGUGCUGACUCGAAGCACUUAGUACGUGAGUUCCUGGGGAGCACAUGUGGCCGGCAGUCAGUCGCGCAGUGGGCUGCGUGGAAAUCAGGGGGGCAGAAAUUAUUCUUUACGUGAACUGCAAGCAACCUUGAUUCCACAGUGAAGGAGAGGAGCUGCAACAAGAGAUCUGUGAAAUUGCACAUCCAGUGUCAUGAUCAGUACUGCUUGCCUUCUUCCAAAAUUGAGAGUUCCUCAUGAGAAUUAAAAAGCACUACUAAUAAUCAAGCUACGGUUCCUAAAGUCAAGCAAGAGAGGAGACAGAGGCUCUAAUAGGUUAUUGGUAGUGGAGAAUCAGAAAAAAUCUUGCCAGAGAGGAAAUAGGAAAUGGAAGAUGAAUUGGAAGCAUCCUAAUGAGCUGGAGCAAAGAAAGGAUUCCCGCACUUUUACUCAUGCCUACCUUCACUGACUAGGGAGGUAGUGAUGAGAGAUGGUCAUGAUGUCAGACCAUUCAGAGCACAGGAGCACAGAUUGGAGUUCAGAUGAAGCUUUCACUCACCACCACACAAUGGGGAGACAGGUUUAGUCAUGAGAGUUCUCCCACUCUUUUCCUGUUACUUCCGUAUACACAGAGAAAUAGACAUUUUCUCUGAAAAUUAUGAAAGACUGAAUCACAGGGAGGAUCACUUACCAUAGCCCUAAGAGUCUUGAACACGUGCCCCGCUGCUCCAGCCUCUGGAUAUGGCAUUGCCUGGUGUCUGCUCACAUCAUCUUAAUUCAAGAUGGCUGGAUAGCUUGCUAACAGCUCUUGAGACAGGAAAAGAUUAAAAGAAGAAAAAAAAAGCCUAUCAGAAGAUCAAAACAGCAGGGCAGCACCGACAAGAUUCUUGGAACUGCAUGAGUGUCAAGGACAGUUUUGAACACCCUGAGCUUCAAGCAGCUAAAAGCAUGCCACAAAAACGCAUGCCUCCAAAAGAGAUGCCUGACAGGCCUGGACAGGCGGCAAGCUUCAACAUCUUGGGGACUGCUGGAAAAAGAUGGGGUGCUUAAUCCCUUCAGGAAGCUAGGAAUCGCCCAAAAGGCCAUGUUUACACUAGAAAACUUAAGAAAAGAUUUCUAGAAAAUGCCCAGUUUUUGCUGGUGCUAGCUGAGCUCCCUUGGUGCUGACAACGUUAGAGGCUUAAGGUAUUUUUAACAUUGUUUUUUCCAAGACUCAGAUUUCGAAGAUACUCACUGGUGCAGCAGUUAGCAGACAGGGCAACCUCCGUCCAGCCAGUGCUAAACUCAUCAAGUCAAAGCCUACUCUGGCGUUUUAUCACCCGCUCACUAACUCCUCCUGCAUCCUAGCGCAGGCCAGAAGAUUGUGGCAAUGAGGGAAAGGCUCCGGUUAGGGCCGAGCUCUGAAGCCUUUCGUGCCUGCCCGAGGAGCUCAGCCCUGCCGGCCCCCCAGCAGCGCGCUCUGCCCCGUCCUUGGUGCAGCCCGGGUCCUCCCAGGCCUGCCCGGAGCCAGUGCAGCUCACUGCCCUGCCAGAAAACGCCCCUUUUCCACUGUUUUAUUCUUGGUUUUGUGCCACCUGAGCGAACAGGACUGGCUCUGGAAGAGUCCAAAGACUGCCAAAGUGAGUGCAAAGGGGGGUGAGAGGGAAAAGGUGCUGCAUAGGUUGCUAGAUGAGCUCAAGCCAUAACAUGUACCUUUGCCCUUGCACCAGCUUUCAGGAUGAUAUAAUAUUAAAGGUGCUGACAAAUGAGCUCCGGCACAUCUCGCGGUGGCAGUUGCAGGUGAUCCUGCACACUGCUUUGCCCCGUGCCCGAAGCUGCCGCCCGUGCAGCAGGCGGGGGACAGCCCUGGUGCUGAUGCCGCAGCUGCUUCCCUGUAAAAUCGGUGGCUUAGUUACACCUCUGGUCAAGGUGGUUUUAAGAGUUCGGACUUCACACUUUUGAAGUGGUUGAGGCAAAAACACAUUCCCUUCUGCAGCCCCGUGGGGGAGGGGGUGGUAACCCGCAGCAGAGGGGUGGGAAGGGCAGAUGGGGUUAGUGACAUCUUAAGCAUUCAUGGCAGCAUCUGCUUAGCAUGUGCGUGACCUUCCCCUGCGAAGGAAGCCAGCCUCUCAGUGAGGGAGGGGGCUUGCUGGCAUGCUGUAACCAUGCUGAAAUGGUCAGAAAACUUCCUUUUGUACGUGGGGCUUCAAUUAUUGUUUAACUAGAUCAUGAGAUAUCAGCUCAUCAAACUACA